UCUCUGUCUCUCUCUCUCUCUCUCUCUCUCUCUCUCUCUCUCUGUCUCUCAAACAGAAUAUCGUAAGGAAGAGAAAUACAGCUAAGUACCGUACUGUAUUUAGGGACACUAAUUCACCUCUAAGUGGGCCCGUGCAGUUCAAACCCCAGGGUCAACCGGAGGGGAAAUCUUUCCCUCCUCUGCUUUUUCUUACCAAGUUCACCUCGGAAAAAUGAGCCAUUGUGAGCAUUUUCUCAUCUCUCGGAAACGUAUCCUUUUGAGGACGAGAUGGGCCUUUUGUUGCUGGACCGUCUUCCCAAGGAACGCGGGAGCCAUCUUUCCGAAACGCAACCGUCAAGGGAGACGCUCCCACCCUCCCGGUUCCCGCGGGGGGACAGGGGCCUCCGGUGAGCUGGUGUCAGCCUCCCUCCGGCACGCACACUUCCUCCCGUCCCAGAGACAGGCGGCUCCUUCCAACAAGCUGGCGGAAGUGGUCACCCCAGUUUCCAGGUGGGUUAGGAUGCACCGUGUCUGACCGGUGGUGCCGUGAAAGGCCGCGGACUCGAGGACUAGUUCCCGCGUAUCAGGAAACACGUGUGACGCAGGCGGUGUCGGCUGGACUCCCUGGGUGGUCGCGUUUCUUCUUGAAAGUUCCUCGAUUGCCUAGAAUACGCAUCUCAUUCGGGCCUCUUAUUCACACGAUAAAAGUGGUUGUUUUCCUCCACUAUGUCUGUGGACAACAUUUCUGGGCUGGAAGAUUCUGUUUUCCAUUCUAUUUCUCCAGCACAUUCCACCCGGAACCUUCCAGAAGUCAGCUGGAUGGCAUUCCUGCUCCGUACUACACCGCGGCACACGUGCCUCUGCUUGUCUGUGUUUACGGGCAAGGAGCCCAAGGGAGGGGGGAUGGCGUAUAGACCGAAGGAGUCACAACGGCUUUGCCAGUAAGAGGCAUGGGUGCCAAGGCCCUGGGGCAUCCUGACUCGCCUCAGCAGGGCUACCUUCGGAGGAUGAAACGUUCCUCCUCCAAGCGGCACAGGGCAGUCCCUAGGUCAGGGACAACACAGGCCUGCAUCUCUUUGCGGUUGGUCUACAAGCAAGACUGAGUUGAACGCUACCAUUCCCAGCCUCCUUCCAACUGGUCCUGGCACAAGUGUGACGAGAUCUCAUCGAGAAGCUGGUUCUUCAUGAUCACCCCUGACCCAUCUUUGUGAAGCCCUCUCCCCACCUUCCUGUCUCCCCCAUGACUGUGAUCUGGGAGAAGAGGGUUUCAGUCUUUGUCCGCAGAGACUUCUUGUCUCCACUCAGAAAUGCCGCCUCAAGGACCCAGGAGCUGAAUCUCUGAAAAGUGAUCCUGGAGAAAGAUCCGCCUCACCUCCCCGGUCUCGGGGAGACAUGGGCCUAACCCCGGGGCUCCAGGCGGCAAACGCGACCCGACAGGAGUGGCCCCAUCUGUGGCUACACGGAGGAGAGAUUUCUGUCUUCGCAGGGGGGCUGAAUGUUUAUUCAAUAAUAAAAUGAAUUUCUGUCUCUUCUGCCUCUGUGAUGAGGUCGUCUCGGUUGGGAGGAGAGUUUGCUUUUCAUUGUAUUUCCCCACCCGGGGCUUUGCCGUGUACCCGGCGGUCCGGGCAGUCAGCGAGGAAGGCUGUCCAAGGCCCGCUGGCCUGGCCGCUCUGAGCCCGGUCAGCCGGCCAGAGCCCCUGGGCACGCUGCUGGCUGCUGGCUCUCUGAGACACGAGCGCAGAAAUUGAGAGGAUGCCACUUAGAAAGGUUUCUAGCAAUUUUCACGGAGCAACUGUACAGCUUCGGAUCUCGGAAUACAAAAUUUGGGUCUGCAUGCUGUAAAUCUUCUAGCUUUCUCAUUUUUUUCAUUUCUGUCGCAUUUUACAAAAGUCCUGAUCCAUAAUGGAACGGAAUUGAAAACAAAAAAACAAAACCAAGCAAAUCAAAACCAAUGCCCCUUCCCCAGUCUGAGGGCUGGAAAAUUUAGAAGCAGACUGUAGCAUGCGCCAGGACCAGCCGUUCGAGUCUGCGGCCGCGUCCCCCCGACCCCCGUCUGGGUUCCUGGCUCGGCAGGUCCGGGUGGGGCACAUUUCUUUCCCAGGCGAUGCCACCUUGUUCACGCUGCUGGUCUAGGCACCGCAUUCUGAGAACCACCCUCCAGAGAGUGUUUCAAAGUCCGGAUGCCUCUGGCUCACCCCCCACCCUCUAAACAAUAAACAGUAAAAACAAAACAAAAAAAAAUCCAAGACUGAGGUGGGCCAAUUUUUGAAGGAAAUCUGCAGAGACCUUGGCAUUUGCCACCUAGUUUGACAAGGUGACCAACGGGGGGGCGUCCUGCUCUUUCCAGAAACCAGGCAACUCUUCACUGGCUUUGUCAGCAGCAGGCCUCUCAACCCAAACAUCUUGGCUAGGAAAACAUUCCGGAAAAGGACAAGCAAGCAAGCAAGCAAAGAGCGGACGGAGGGAGGGGACAGCGGACCCGCUUGGUCGGCCCCCUCCGGACGCGCGAACGUCGAGGAAGAUUUCUUCCAGGCUGAGGCUCUGGUGGGAGGGGAGGCUGGAGGGGACAGCCCUGUCCCGGGAGCUUGGCACCCAAGUUCCCACAAGGGUGGCGCACCACAGUCGGCAGGCGGGAAUGCCGGGCUGGCUGAGGGCAUCAGAGGAAGAAGCGGCAGCCACGGGAGAGGACGCCUCUUUCCCUUCGCCCUUGAGCUUCUGUGCCCGGGACCUGUGGGCGCCCGCGGAGUCCCGGCGCCUUCUCUCCGCAUCUCCUUCUUCUAAGUGAUCGUGAAUCAGCACCCAGGUUUCACGAAGCCAGCUCUGCAGAACGCGAGGAACCGCGCAGGUGUCUGAGCUGAAUGCACACGCAGGUCGGUGGCCCCCACGUCGGAGGCCACCGCGCACCCGGGAGUCAGGGGCCCCGGAUUCUUGCAGAGACCAGAGCGGGUUGCACCCCAGCCUGACCGCCGAUCACACCGCGGUGGUGGAGGGCCCCCGGCGCGCUCGCUGAGGACAGCGCGGAUGGUGCGUCCUUCCUCCCAGGGUCGGCGGACAGUCCUCCCCCAAGGCCCUGCUACCAUUUUCCAACCUGCUUCUACUUCCUGGGUAGACCCACUCUGCGCUCCACCGCUCGCGGUGUCUUCCCCUCCGGCUGCCGGCCCCGGCCACCUCCUUCCUGGCCCGCCCAGCUUUUGGAGACCACAGGCGUUCUCCUCCAUGCUGCCGUGUUCCACCAGCUGGCCCGGGGCUCCCCAGAGCAGCUUUUGUAACUACCGCCGGGUCUGUGCGCACAACCGGCCUCUAGCGACGUGGCCUUUCCACGUCCAGUGGCCGCCCGGAAAACAGUGCCCUGUGCCACCACAUGGCACGGUGUGCUCGCCCACCACACGCAGAAUACAUUUUAAAAUCCGUCUGCGUGAACAACGCAGACAACAACAGAUGCUGGCAAGGAUGCGGAGAAAGUCUUG